UCUUCGGCAUAACCAUUCAAGUUGAAUGGUUAUGCUGAAGACAGUCAUCGGCAUAACCAUUCAACUUGGAUGGUUAU